UGCCCAGCAACUCCUAUCCCUACCUCCACGCGGUACCGGCCGGAAACUAUGAGCAACCUUAGGAAAGAUCGGGUAAAAAACCCGGUGUGAACUUUGGUCAUAGGCUUACAGGGAAGG
rnacentral:ribozyme from 1 species